GCUUAGCUUGCCGCUCAUUACGUUCAACAUUGUCUUUUUAUUAUUGUUUUAAUCUGUUGUAAGUCGUCUAAAUGUGUCUCUGACUCUAAAUCUCCUGUGUUUUGUCCCCUCCCUCCUGCAGCUGAUAGUUUGAGCCUCAGUCGAUCAUGAUCCUGCUGACUCCCUCCUCCGAUGUCUUGAACUCGCCUGGCUUUGGAAUCACAGGAAGUUCAGGGUGAAAACACUUGAAGGGUUGCUAUACAACUGCAAAAUUUAUAAAAAGACAAAUCUAUCCGUGCAUUCUGUCUUGGGGCAGCACUAUGACUCAAGAGGAACAUCUGUUAGACUUUGUGCCUCUUUUUGACUAAAAUCAAGAUCUUAUUAGCUUUCAUACUGCUUAUUUACCUCCAAAACAACCACAUGUAUCAAGUUUAAAGAGUUCCUAUUCUGCUUUUUUAUGGUGUUACCCUUCCCUUUAGAGUGUACUGAACAUCAGCAGGAGAGGACUCUUUAAAGUAGAGACACUACAUACUGAUAUACACCUGAACAUCAGCAGGAGAGGACUCUUUAAAGUAGAGGACAGGGACUCUUUAAAGCAAAUGCACUUAAUAAUUAAUCCCAAUUGGAGAGUUAACCCCUUGCAGUUUAGUGUUUAUAGCAGAUUACACCAGGAUGUUUAUUAACGCAGGGCUGCAGUGGAUUCAAUAGAUUAUUAUUAAUUGAUUAACGAGGUGUGAUCAGCUGACUUCCGGUUCGUUUCUCGCAGUAGUUUCAGCUCUGUGUUUUUUUGUUUAGUCCCCUCUAUGUACCCAAAACCAGUAUCUGUGUGUGUGUGUUUCAAUCCCAGUAAGAUUUCGCUAAGCGCUAAAAACGUCCCGUUCACCGUCCGAAAACUGUAUCCUUUUUGGUGUCUUCUACUCUGCAAAUAUCAUCUCUUGAUUUUAGGGCUGCACAGUUAUUCAAAUAUUAAUAUCUAUCACGAUUUAGCAGCGAUUUUGACGUCUAAAAUGCGUGCUCCGGUCGUACAUUUACAUAAAGUAAUAAACAACAGACAAGCAAAAGGAAAUGUCAUCGAGGUGUAAAGAACUGUUUUAUGCAGGAUUUUAAAGCAUUGUUUUUAAAGCAGUUACAAAUAAUCGUGAUUAUUAUUUUGGUCAUAAUCGUGCAGCCCUAACUGAUACUGAAGUGUAAUGCAUGCUGAGUAAAGCUACACAAAUGUAUAACGAUGUUUAUUGCAUAGACAUGUCUAAGUGAUAAUGAGGCACUCUGUCAUUUUGCAUGCUGUGACUGCGAAUGAACGAGUACAGUAACGUACAAAAAUGCAUUUUAGUGAUCUGAAAGUGGAUGAAUGAAUCGUAAAGGUCGGUCUGCGUCCAAAAAACAAAGUCUUGGUAAGUGAUGCUUCUUUUAAUUUGAAAAGGAGAAUCUGAUGUAAAGUAAUUUGUUGAUAUAAAUGCAAAGAGGAGAAGAAAUAAAGCUACAACAUCCCGUAGCAUGGAGACAAAUACUGUAUGACUGCAUUGAGAUAAUGUUAUGUGACUCAAACUGGGAUUUUCCCUUUCGGCCCUUUUUAUCGAGAGGUCAGCUGGUAUGGUAUCGGGUCAUUUAGCCGUUAGCGUUAGAGUUUUUAGUUUUGCCCCGACGCCGUCUAACUUCUGCUCUUUUCUCAGGUUUCUUUCAGUGCACAAACAAGAUCUUCCUGACGGACGAAGCGACAGGACAGCAGAUCAAGGAAUUCGCUCGUAAAAAUGCAGCGAACGCUCUGUCGAUAUCCAACAUGGUGAUGGGCAUGGCGUCCAUCCUGAGCAGCCUGCAGGGGGCCUGCGUACAGUAAGUAAUGCUAAAUGAUGGCAGACGAGCUGCACUAAGCUUCGUUAGAGACACUCAGGCAAGUGCUUAAAACUAAAACUGAAACGUGUCCAGAAACACCUGGAGAUGAUCGCUCUCUAUUCACCUGAUGCUCCCCGGCUCUGUGGAGCUUCUACGUCACCGUUUAAUGUGUUGGUUCUUCCUGUUACAGCGUAAAUGCUAUUACUUUAGCAUAGCGUCGCCAGCUUUAGCUACCUUUACUUACCAAACAAACUGUUUGUAAGCUUUUAAAUGAACUGUUGGAACAGCUUUUCAGGCAAAAACAAACCCUAUGUGUGAUUAUUUUAUCUAAAUAAAUGUAUAUUUGAGGUAUUAACGUUGAUGUUUGGAGCUGUGAGGAGCUAGCUAGAUUUAAGGCUAAAGGCCUUUAAGGCCUAAAAGAUGUUUUAAAAAAUACUUAAUCAAUGUUUUAAUAAUGAAUCUCUUUGUCUGAAAGUAGACACUUUAAGGCUAAUCAUAAGGGGUUAAACAAUAACUCGUAUUUUAAUUAUUACAGCAACCAAUUUGGCUAUAGCUAAUUUUAAAGCUAACAUUCGCUAGCUAGCCUGUUAGCUUGUAGCCUAGCUAGAGAGCUAACACUCGCUAGCUAGCUUCUUAGCGUAGUGUAGCUGUGAAUGAUCUCUAAUUAAAGUCAUUGUUCACUAAACUGCUUGUGCUAAAUCAGAAGAGCUAACACAUUAGGGGUUAAAAAAUAACUUGUAUGUUAGUUAUUACAGCAACCAAUUUGGCUAUAGCUAACUAUGAAGCUAACAUUCGCUGGCUAGCCUGUUAGCUAGAGAGCUAACACUCGCUAGCUAGCUUGUUAGCGCAGUGUUGCUGUGAAUGAUCUCUUAUUAAACUCAUUGUUCACUAAACUGCUAGCGCUAAACCAGAAGAGCUAACACAUUAGCGUUUGAACAGGAAGUGGGGAAAGGGGCGGGGCUUCAUGAGGUGAAUAGAGACAGAUACUGUCUCAGCAACGGUUUCACAUUUUACCCUCAUAUCAUGUUUUACUGCAGGAGAGAUGUUGUAUCUUCCUGCUCCUCAUCCUUUUGAUUUCACACAUUCUGCAGAGUUUCAUGUCUUUCUACUGCUUCAGUUUAUCGUCUGUUGCAUCGCUAAAAUGUGGCUACGGUGCAUAGAUCCCUCUUUUAAUAUCUGCUCAGCUUUCCACUUUAAUAACUAUACUGCACAUAUUUUAUUAUUUGUCAGAUCAUUCGUUUAUCUGUAUUUCAUGUUAAUAUUUCUAUAUUAGAAUUUUUUUUAGAGUUUUUUUUUUCUAUAAAUGUUGUAAUUUUCUCUUACCUUUAAUCUGUGUUUCUGCAUCACACACACACACCAAGGCAAACUAGUAACAUCUGUGAAACUACUCGGUCAAACCUUCUCUUUCUCUAGUUUUUAAUAGUUUUCUGAUUUCUCUUUCAGUUUAUUGUCUGUUGCAAAAAGGAGAGCUACAAAGAGAUACAAUAGAGGUGAAGUCACGCCCAUCUACUUCCGCUCCA